UGGGCUUAAGCGUUCGUAGCUUGGUCGUAUAAGUCUCUGGGGAAAUCUUUUGGCUCAACCGAAAGGCGUCUCAGGGAAACUGACGAACUUGGAACCGGGAGAGGUAAGACGUACUUCGGGGGUAGGAGUGAAAUCUUGUAAUCCCCGAGGGACCACCGAUGGCGAAGGCAUCUUACCAGAACGGCUUCGACAGUGAGGGACGAAAGCUGGGGGAGCAAACCGGAUUAGAUACCCGGGUAGUCCC
rnacentral:rRNA from 1 species